rnacentral:rRNA from 1 species
CCAACAGGGAUUGCCUCAGUAACGGCGAGUGAAGCGGCAACAGCUCAAAUUUGAAAGCUGGCUCUUGCAGAGCCCGCGUUGUAAUUUGUAGAGGAUGCUUCGGGUGCGGCGCUGGUCUAAGUUCUUUGGAACAAGACGUCAUAGAGGGUGAGAAUCCCGUAUGUGACUAGCUGCCUGUGCCUGUGUGAAGCUCCUUCGACGAGUCGAGUUGUUUGGGAAUGCAGCUCAAAAUGGGUGGUGUACUUCAUCUAAAGCUAAAUAUUGGCCAGAGACCGAUAGCGCACAAGUAGAGUGAUCGAAAGAUGAAAAGCACUUUGGAAAGAGAGUUAAACAGUACGUGAAAUUGUUGAAAGGGAAGCGCUUGCAAUCAGACUUGCGCGGCGUCGAUCAACCUGGGUUCUCCCUGGUGCACUCGGCGCUGCUCAGGCCAGCAUCAGUUUCAGCGGUUGGAUAAAGGCCUAGGGAACGUGGGUUACUUCGGUGACUGUUAUAGCCCUAGGUGCAAUGCAGCCUGCUGGGACUGAGGACCGCGCUUCGGCUAGGAUGCUGGCGUAAUGGUUGUAAGCGACCCGUCUUGAAACACGGACCAAGGAGUGUAAUAUUUAUGCGAGUUUUUGGGUGUUAAACCCAUAAGCGUAAUGAAAGUGAACGGAGGUGAGAACCCUUAAGGGUGCAUCAUCGACCGAUCCUGAUGUCUUCGGAUGGAUUUGAGUAAGAGCAUAACUAUUGCGACCCGAAAGAUGAUGAUCUAUACUUGAAUAGGGUGAAGCCAGAGGAAACUCUGGUGGAGGCUCGCAGCGGUUCUGACGUGCAAAUCGAUCGUCAAAUUUGGGUAUAGGGGCGAAAGACUAAUCGAA